GAAGUGGGAGUGAGUAUAGCGGUGUUUGCAUGGUUAUAUACGCUGAAAAAGAAGUGCAAAUACGCGAAAAGGCUGGCUUUUAUUAACAAACGUUGCGACAGCUCGCGAUUCAAUCGCAGCUGUCGAUGGAAAUGGGACGUUUCACGCGCGAGCUUAAUUAUCGGCUGUAUCGAAAAGGCUCGUUGUUACGGUCCAAUUAACGUUCGGAUAUCAGACUCGAUCUUUGACUGUUUUCGGUUAAUUCGACAUCGGGAUAUUACAUUUACUAUGUUAACAGCUAUAACCAACCGUUUAACGUAAUUUACCCGUCAGCCAACCCUGCAACAAGAUUCCUUUCUCCGAACUUCUCUCUUCGGUAUUCUGAUGCAAUCUUACGAAACAUUGUGUAUUACGAUUCCUUCAGGAAAAUCGUGCGGAUCGAGUGCAGAAUCGUUGGAAGCAUCCGAGAGGAGCGCAGAUCGAUGAACGAAUUUCCAAGGAUCGCGAGGGAUUCGAGAAACCGGGAGACCAUUAAAAGACGGCUAAGACAGUGAAGAUUCUCGGACAAUUUCAACUAAACAAAGAAUGAAAGGGCAUUUGAAGCAAUUGCGACGAGGGAAAUUCCUUGAUCGGUGAAUCCAUGGCGCGAAAUUGCGCCACCUGGAUUCACCGUGAAUUCCGCGUAAGUCGUUAACGCGGACAGAAGAAGCGGGAUCGAGAAAAAGCGAGGAACGCGGCGAAACUCGUUCUUAAGCGCACGCAGAAGCCCGAAAGAAACAGUGUUCCACGCGUCCAGGUCAGAAAUGCUUCCUACGAUGCGAUGCUAUGCCAUCUUCGACGGGUUUCUCCUAGAAAAAGAGGAUUCUAUGAUGUUUCGCGAGAAGGUCGAGGGAAACUUUGAACGUGAAAAGAGAACGCGUAUACGCGUGUGUACGUCUGUACGAUAGAAAAAUCGAUAGUUGUACGGAGAAUUGGAAGAUCGGAUUGGUUUGGGAUCGCCGACUAUCGUUUCACCGACAAUGUUUUCGUCGACACAGACAUCGACCGUCUUUAGCCUCGUCGACAUUGUUUAUUCACCGACACGUUGACUUCACUGGCAGUGUUUUCAUCGACGCUCAUUCGGUUCAAUGAAAACAACGUCGACAAAGACACUGUCGGUGAAUAAACAAUGUUGACGAAAUUAGUGCCCGUAAGAACAUUAUCGGCAAAAUAAUUGUCGGUGGUUACAAGUCAAGCCGGAAGAUCAAGGUUAAUCACGCAUUAGCUGGAUUCGCGGAAACUUUGAGAUUGCUGGGCGUAUACGGUCUUCGUGAGCAGGAAGAGAAGCCAGCACAACGUCCUGGCAGGAUGCCGAGUGACUUUCGUAAUGACGAGGUUUAUCGCGUGUCUUUUCGGUCUGAAUUAAAUGAUAACG
rnacentral:misc_RNA from 1 species